rnacentral:rRNA from 1 species
UAGCAGAGGGUGCAGCGUUAAUCGGAAUUACUGGCGUAAGCGUGCGCAGGCGGUGAGUGUAAGACAGGUGUGAAAUCCCCGGGCUCAACCUGGGAAACUGCAUUUGUGACUGCAUGGCUAGAGUACGGUAGAGGGGGAUGGAAUUCCGCGUGUAGCAGUGAAAUGCGUAGAUAUGCGGAGGAACACCGAUGGCGAAGGCAAUCCCCUGGACCUGUAC